rnacentral:rRNA from 1 species
UACGUAGGGGGCUAGCGUUAUCCGGAAUUACUGGGCGUAAAGGGUGCGUAGGUGGUUUCUUAAGUCAGAGGUGAAAGGCUACGGCUCAACCGUAGUAAGCCUUUGAAACUGGGAAACUUGAGUGCAGGAGAGGAGAGUGGAAUUCCUAGUGUAGCGGUGAAAUGCGUAGAUAUUAGGAGGAACACCAGUUGCGAAGGCGGCUCUCUGGACUGUAACUGACACUGAGGCACGAAAGCGUGGGGAGCAAAACAGGAUUAGAUACCCCCGUAGUCCCUGAGCGGGCU